UUGUUGUUAGGUUUUGUGCUUGACAAAUUAACCGCUAGGUUUAUUCCGCAUUUGUUCAAGCCUAAACUGUAAUUAUUUUAAAACGCCUAUUCACCCCCCCCUCUAGACGACAUCCACGAUCUUUCAAGGUAUGACUAUGUUAUUCAUGGUAAUUGGGCGCAUAUAUGCCUUCCAUUUUACCGCUUUAUAUGUAUCCCAGAUGUCAUCCACAUUGAGGACGAGUCUGAUGAAGUUGGAAUUUUUGAGCCAAUUCAACCCUCUACUGAAAUGGAAGGAUUCUUCGACGACAUGCACGAGGACGAAAUAUUAGACGAUGAUGAGGAUGCAAAAUAUUUUAGACAACAUUCGGUAUUUUUAACUCUCACUUCUUCUUCACAAGUCUUGGAGUCACCCUUGACCAUCAGGUUAGCAGUGCGGUCAGAACUGGGAUAUAUACAUUCUGUGCGCAUGGUCAGUUGUAUCAUCGUCUAGACCAUUUGGUGCCUGCUGGUCAAGGACCUAGGCAUUUGCAAUUGUACAUUUUUGAUACAGAUGACACCUUGGAGCAUAGGGUGAAACGGUCUCCAGAUCUUGAUAUCAAUCUCAUACGGAAGAUUUUGCGGAUACUAGACAACAACCGCUAUGUGGACAUAUUUAAGAGCAUUGGUUCUAUUCCAAACUUGGGAGGGUAUAGGAUUUCAUUAACCACAUAUAUAAAACUGGAUCAAUGAAAUGGCCCUACAACUUCUCGGGUGGCUGCAAUGUGGGUUGAAGGGAUAUCCUUUUUUGCACAUGGCUACACGUGCAUUGCACGUGCACGUUUACUAGUUUUGAUAAGAUUUGAUUUUAUUUGACUAUGGAUAUAAGAAGGUAAUGAAAGUUUUGAUUUAGUUGAUAUUUUGGUAAGAUUUAAUUUGAUUUGGGUAUGUGUAUGGAAAGACAAGGAAAGUUUUUGUUUUAGUUAAGGUUUUGACAAGAUUUGA